UGAUCCUGCCAGUAGUGAUAUGCUUGUCUCAAAGAUUAAGCCAUGCAUGUGUAAGUGUAAGCUGAUUAAUGGUGGGACUGCGAAUGGCUCAUUAAAACAGUGAUAGUUUCUUUGAUGGAUCGUUUCGAUGGAUAACCGUAGUAAUUCUAGAGCUAAUACAUGCCAGUGUGUGUUAGAUAUCGCCCUUGUGGGAACAACGAUACACGCAUACCAUAUCGGGAGGUAUGGUGCAUCAUUCAAGUUUCUGCCCUAUCAGCUUUCGAUGGUAGUGUCUUGGACUACCAUGGCAGUGACGGGUAACGGAGAAUUAGGGUUCGAUUCCGGAGAGGGAGCCUGAGAAACGGCUACCAUGUCUAAGGACAGCAGCAGGCGCGCAAAUUGCCCAAUGCUAACACGAGCGAGGCAGCGACGAGAAGUAUUUACUUCGUUACACUUUGUUGUGACCUGGAUAGAAAUGGAUGGUAUGCAAAACCACCACUGAGGAUCGAUCGGAGGGCAAGUC
rnacentral:rRNA from 1 species